rnacentral:rRNA from 1 species
UACAGAGGUCCCAAGCGUUGUUCGGAUUUACUGGGCGUAAAGGGCGCGUAGGCGGCUUUAUAAGUCGGGGGUGAAAGCCUGUGGCUCAACCACAGAAUUGCCUUCGAUACUGUAUGGCUUGAGACCGGAAGAGGUAAGUGGAACUGCGAGUGUAGAGGUGAAAUUCGUAGAUAUUCGCAAGAACACCAGUGGCGAAGGCGGCUCACUGGCCCGAUACUGACGCUGAGGCACGAAAGCGUGGGGAGCAAACAGG